rnacentral:rRNA from 1 species
AACGAACGCUGGCGGCAGGCUUAACACAUGCAAGUCGAGCGCCCCGCAAGGGGAGCGGCGCACGGGUGAGUAACGCGUGGGAACUUGUCCUCUGGUACGGAACAACCGAGGGAAACUUCGGCUAAUACCGUAUGAGCACUCUGGUCGAAAGGUUGGGGUGGAAAGAUUUAUCGCCAGGGGGAGAGGCCCGCGUCCGAUUAGGUAGUUGGUGGGGUAAAGGCCUACCAAGCCUUCGAUCGGUAGCUGGUCUGAGAGGAUGAUCAGCCACACUGGGACUGAGACACGGCCCAGACUCCUACGGGAGGCAGCAGUGGGGAAUAUUGGACAAUGGGCGCAAGCCUGAUCCAGCCAUGCCGCGUGAGUGAUGAAGGCCUUAGGGUUGUAAAGCUCUGUCGGAAGGGACAAAACGUUUGGAGUUAAUAGCUCCAGAUCUUGAUGGUACCUUUAAAGGAAGCACCGGCUAACUUCGUGCCAGCAGCCGCGGUAAU